rnacentral:piRNA from 1 species
UAGAUACGAUUCGAUACGCGGCAAAACC